rnacentral:rRNA from 1 species
CCUACGGGUGGCAGCAGUGGGGAAUAUUGCACAAUGGGGGGAACCCUGAUGCAGCAACGCCGCGUGGGUGAAGAAGUAUUUCGGUAUGGAAAGCCCUGUCAGCAGGGAAGAAGGAGACGGUACCUGACCAAGAAGCCCCGGCGAACUACGUGCCAGCAGCCGCGGUAAUACGUAGGGGGCAAGCGUUAUCCGGAUUUACUGGGUGUAAAGGGAGCGUAGACGGCACUGCAAGACUGGAGUGGAAGCCCGAGGCCCAACCGCGGGACUGCUCUGGAAACUGGGGGGCUGGAGUGUGGGAGGGGUAAGCGGAAUUCCUGGUGUAGCGGUGAAAUGCGUAGAUAUUAGGAGGAACACCGGUGGCGAAGGCGGCUUACUGGACCAUAACUGACGUUGAGGCUCGAAAGCGUGGGGAGCGAACAGGAUUAGAUACCCUAGUAGUC